AAAACGACUCUCGGCAACGGAUAUCUCGGCUCUCGCAUCGAUGAGGAACGUAGCGAAAUGCGAUACUUGGUGUGAAUUGCAGAAUCCCGUGAACCAUCGAGUCUUUGAACGCAAGUUGCGCCCCAAGCCGUUAGGCCGAGGGCACGCCUGCCUGGGUGUCACGC
rnacentral:rRNA from 1 species